rnacentral:rRNA from 1 species
GAAUUUGGACAUGGGCGCAAGCCUGAUCCAGCCAUACCGCGUGGGUGAAGAAGGCCUUCGGGUUGUAAAGCCCUUUUGUUGGGAAAGAAAUCCAGCCGGCUAAUACCUGGUUGGGAUGACGGUACCCAAAGAAUAAGCACCGGCUAACUUCGUG